UCCGGCUUACACCGGCGGUCUCCUAUGAGUUCCCGACUUUCUCGCUGGCAACAUAGGACGAGGGUUGCGCUCGUUUACGGACUUAACCGCACACCUCACGGCACGAGCUGACGACAGCCAUGCAACAAGUGUCUUCAUGUCCCCUUGUGAGGGAGGGCCCGAUCUCUCGGGCUUACAAUCGAUGUCAAACCUGGGUAAGGUUCUUCGGUUAGUAUCGAAUUAAUCCACAUGCUCCACCGCUUGUGCGGGUCCCCGUCAAUUCAUUUGAGUUUCAACCUUGCGGCCGUACUCCCCAGGCGGGAUACUUAGUGCGUUAGCUGCGGCACAAGAGGGGUCGAUACCUCUUACGCCUAGUAUCCAUCGUUUAGGGCGUGGACUAC
rnacentral:misc_RNA from 1 species